rnacentral:lncRNA from 1 species
UAGAGAUAAAACGUGAUGAAUGUGUCAAGUUUAGUGAUCCUCGGGACGAAAGUGACGAGUGAUUGGGUGCAUUCGAGUAAAUUGGACAUUCGCCAAAUCAUUGGAACUCGAAUCGAUACGAUCGUGUCGCAAAAUCCGGACACGAAUAUCGACAGCGUUUUCUUCGUGUACCAGCAAUCACCAGCAGCAUUGUCCGCACAGCCCGCACUGUGCAACGUGAGGUGCCGCAGAGGAGCUUUGAUUAUGCGUCCGGAAAAUUUGAAUACCGAUUGCCACACGUUUAUAUCACAGCUGAGUAUAAAUGGAACGAAGUAGACAAUGAAAUAAUGAAAGAAUUUACAUUUUUCAUAAAAUUCUCCAUUUCUUCGGGAUUAUUUCGUUUUUGGGGACUUUUUUCAACAAUUCUUGUUUGUAGUUGGUAAAAUUAAGGGGAACUAACGUAAUGCAAGAAUUGGCACACAUUUAAUCGUCAUCGUUCCAUCAUUCGAUCAUAAUUUCAUUCAAUCGUCAUCGCUAUUGAGCCAAUCGUUGCAACACUGAUGAAAAAACUCAUUUUCAAGAAUAUUCUCUUACUGAUUCGACGUGAGGCAUGUUAUUGGCUUGGUUUCAGGUAGCAUAGGACUCAUUUCCAUUAUCAGCAACGGAAACACUUAAAAAUGAGCGAACAGCCGGUUUGACGUCGAGAAAGGCGCCUUGCAGUACUUAUCGGCAAAGGCGACAUCAAAAAUGACUUUUUAUUUCGUAAACUGAACGAGUACGACGUAUUUACGUUGGAGAGUCACGUUUUCACCGAAAAUUUCAAGGACCACGGGUACAAACGUUAUCCAGAAUGAGCGCACUUUUCGAUCUUCGCACGAAAUUCCGAUAACGGAAAGUCAGUUUAGCCAGAAGCUUGGAUAAUUUAACGAGAAAUUGGGAAUCAUUGGAGCGAGGCUGAAGAUACGACGAUCGAACGUGAAUAUAAAGCGCGUCGAUUAACCGCCCGCCGAUUAACGAUCGAGAGACCGACAAAACGUUCGGACACUCGCGGUCAAACGUUUAUCGCUGAUUUCCGAGUGGAACUGCGAUCAGAAACAAUAUUUUCCGAUCACGAGUACCCCGCUCAACUCCAAAAGAGAGAAAAAAUAAGAAAAACGAUAAAAAAAACGCAACGAACGUUUGUGACGGAAAAGCAGCGAGAUCGAAGUGACGAGACACGUUCGCGAGUCUUGAGCGAUCGAAAGAGACUCAAUCAUCAAGAAUUAUUGGCACUUUUGGUAGUGCACUUUUGUGCAAAGUCCAACACACUCUCUGCACACUAAAAUGAUAGUCCUUAGAAUAUUUUUCUAGCGAGUUUUAUCAAUGGAUACGUACGUGUUAAAAAAAGAGACUCUCAGUGUGUGUCAUCGCUCAUUCAAAUUAAUGUUCGAUGCUAAAAGUUGGCUGAUAAUGAAUGUGAUGCGUGGACGUUGCUCGAGAUAACACGAGGCCUGAAAAUGCUCGUAUGCUUAAAGAUUAAACAAUAAUCGUCUGGUGGUCGAAGCAGUUACGCGAUGUUCGUUGAUUCGGAAAACUUUCGUUGCGUUUUUUCAGACCACAGACGCCAUUUAUGAUAGCAAAAGUGUGGGUAAAUGAUUCAUAACUUCGUACUCUUCGUAGUUCAACACGACAAAUUUAUCGAAUGACGUCGUAUGAACAUUUCUGUUCGUACGAAUACGAAAUAGUUAUUUUCCAUCACGAUUUCUUAUCUUUUUCAAUCUUCCAUCAUUAUUACUGCGACGGAAAAAUUUUGCAUCAUCCGGAAUUGAGGAAAUUAAAGAUUUUCAUCUUGUCACGUCAACCAAUGAAACAUUCGUGAGCCAUCGAAUGGAAAGCUGAAUUGUCACGAAGGUUUAAACAUCCCAUCUAAUUGCUUGUGCAAUUUUAUUUUCAGCAACAAUUUUAUAUGGUACGAGAAUGUUCGUUGUUAAGGGGGAAUAUCAGUGUGAAAAAAAGAGCUUGGGCGCAAAAGAGCUUCUGCAUGGUCCAGGGAUAGCAGACCAAUCGAUGCUUGCUGUGGCACUUGUGCUUUCAAUCGUCGAGAAGUCUCUUUUUGAGAAGCCAUUAUGCGAUCGCUCUGCUUAAUAAAAUUUAGUAAAAAUCAUUUAAAAUUAAAAA